GACGAACGCUGGCGGCGUGCCUAAUACAUGCAAGUCGAGCGGACUGACUGGGAGCUUGCUCUUGUUCGGUCAGCGGCGGACGGGUGAGUAACACGUGGGCAACCUGCCCGCAAGACCGGGAUAACUCCGGGAAACCGGAGCUAAUACCGGAUAACACCGAAGACCGCAUGGUCUUUGGUUGAAAGGCGGCGCAAGCUGCCACUUGCGGAUGGGCCCGCGGCGCAUUAGCUAGUUGGUGAGGUAACGGCUCACCAAGGCGACGAUGCGUAGCCGGCCUGAGGGGGUGACCGGCCACACUGGGACUGGGACACGGCCCAGACUCCUACGGGAGGCAGCAGUAGGGAAUCUUCCGCAAUGGGCGAAAGCCUGACGGAGCGACGCCGCGUGAGCGAAGAAGGCCUUCGGGUCGUAAAGCUCUGUUGUGAGGGACGAAGGAGCGCCGCUUGAAGAAGGCGGCGCGGUGACGGUACCUCACGAGGAAGCCCCGGCUAACUACGUG
rnacentral:rRNA from 1 species